rnacentral:rRNA from 1 species
GAACGAACGCUGGCGGCAUGCCUAACACAUGCAAGUCGAACGAGACCUUCGGGUCUAGUGGCGCACGGGUGCGUAACGCGUGGGAACCUGCCUUAGGUUCGGAAUAACUCAGAGAAAUUUGAGCUAAUACCGGAUAAUGUCUUCGGACCAAAGAUUUAUCGCCUUUAGAUGGGCCCGCGUUGGAUUAGCUAGUUGGUGGGGUAAAGGCCUACCAAGGCGACGAUCCAUAGCUGGUCUGAGAGGAUGAUCAGCCACACUGGGACUGAGACACGGCCCAGACUCCUACGGGAGGCAGCAGUGGGGAAUAUUGGACAAUGGGCGAAAGCCUGAUCCAGCAAUGCCGCGUGAGUGAUGAAGGCCUUAGGGUUGUAAAGCUCUUUUACCCGAGAUGAUAAUGACAGUAUCGGGAGAAUAAGCUCCGGCUAACUCCGUG